rnacentral:misc_RNA from 1 species
CCCUCAGGAGCGCACGCUGAC